UACGUAGGGUGCAAGCGUUGUCCGGAAUUAUUGGGCGUAAAGAGCUCGUAGGCGGUCUGUCACGUCGGCUGUGAAAACCCGAGGCUCAACCUCGGGCCUGCAGUCGAUACGGGCAAACUAGAGUACUGCAGGGGAGACUGGAAUUCCUGGUGUAGCGGUGAAAUGCGCAGAUAUCAGGAGGAACACCGGUGGCGAAGGCGGGUCUCUGGGCAGUAACUGACGCUGGAGGAGCGAGAGCGUGGGGAGCGAACAGG
rnacentral:rRNA from 1 species